GCAGAUUGUUCUCUUAGAUGGGGCAUGAUUCAAUGCCAAGUGAAAUCAGCACUACAUGCUUCCAUUGGCUUCAGUGGUAGCAGAUUAUGUCCUUAAUGGAUUGCUGCUAACACUGAGAACCAAAGGUUGUAAGCCUGUGCUUCUGCCGCUUGCAGUAAACUUGCUGGGGUCACAAGAAGCUCAAAAAAUUUCCUGUCUUCUCAGAAGAACCCUGGAUCACUUCUGCAUGCCCCUCUCCAUCUCACUCCUCACAAGGAAUCUAGGAUAACGGUAUUCCCUGAUGAGUUUUAAAUUGGAUUUCUCAGCUGAAGAAACGAAGUGCUCAUUCACUAAAACGGUGAUAGAACAGAUUUUUGGUGUCUGUGGGAACUGAAGCUGAG